AACGCGGGGAUGCGAUCUCCCCUUUCAGGUCUAGCGGCCCAAGCAUCGCGUCCAUCGUUGUUGCAAGGACGCCGCAUG
rnacentral:ncRNA from 1 species